rnacentral:tRNA from 1 species
UCCUGGUUGCUCUGAUGGUAAAGAAUCUGCCUGGAAUGCAGGAGACCUGGGUUUGAUCCCUGGGUCGGGAA